AAGAGAAAAAGUAGACAAGAUUGAAAACUUAAACCAGACCUCCUAGACUCUCCAUGGGAUCUUCAGGAAGAUGUACAGUACUAAAGUUGCAGGGCAGCUUAGUUACCGAAGAAGGAAGAAGAAUCUGAGGAGAAAAAAGAGAAAAUGAUGGAUAAAUCUUUGGAUUCUAGGUUAAUGGACCAAAAUAACUAUAUUGGAGAGAAUCAACAAAAAAAUAUUUGACUACUAUCACUAGAAAUAUAUUACAACAAUCUUUCCUAAAAUAAUAUAGUACUAUUACCACUAGAAUUCGAUCAAAUCUCGCUGGGUUAGGGAAAGGAGAGGGGAAGGAGGAAGCCGAAUGGAGAGGGAAAAGAAAGGUACCGGUUCAAGGGUGAGUUAGGUACUAGUGAUUAAUUAUCACAAAAUUUUAAUGGACGGUUUGGUAAAAUAUCAUAUUAUAAUAUGAAACAAGUUGGUAUGGAUAGCUUAUAGGAUUAUCAUAAUCUGGGAACUUAGAUAAUAUAAUGUAGAUUAUAAUUUGGACUUUUUAUUGACCACUUGAGAUUUUAUAAACUUGAUUAUACAAUCUAGGGUAAAAAAGGCCAUAGUCCAUGACAUACAACCAUUUGCGGCAGACGCAGGGGUCAGAGCACAACACGAGCUGAGUCACAACUGGGAGACACACUUGAAGCAGUAAAGUAAGCAAUAAGGUACCCACAUUAGGAUUGGCGAUGAGGACGCUACAGAGGUGGCUAUCUUCUUCAUUUACAAUAAGGGCGGUGGCUCAUUGGAACUGAUCUGCAAGUGCGGAAGGAUUUGAUGAAAUCAGGGAUAAAGUGAUAGGUUUGGAUGGAAGUGUAGAUGAAAUCAUAGAAUUCAAUAAGGUCAACCUCUCAACAUCACACCACCUACACAAAAAGUGAAGACGCAACGCUUUGUUGCUGGAAGGGUAGAUCGAUGAACUUGAAAAUGAAUUCAUUCACCGGUACAAGAUCAAAGACAUAAGUAAAUAUAUGUGUGUGCACGCGCGGUGACCUGACUACAUCUAUAUUGUUAUUUGUAAAAAAAAUACUAUGAGCUAGCCCAGUUGGACCUAACAAUUGAAAGGGCCAGCUCCUCCAAAAAACAGACUACACAUAAAAACUACUAACUCACCCAUAUCUCCC
rnacentral:lncRNA from 1 species